ACUAUUCAACACUGCCCUCAGCAGGAGUGGAGGAACUUUAAACCUUCUCUUUGAAUUUGGGCAGGUCCUAUGUCCACUAUGACAUGCAACAGAAUAUGACAGAAGUGUCAUGUGCCUGUUUCCAGGAAGUGCUUGCAGAUGAAAUAGUCCCCCUUCAGUUCCUCCCACAUGCUGACAUGGCACUGCUCCAUAAUUUUUUUUCACAGCUUUCAGAUGAGUCGUUAGAACCACUACCUCUCUUGUCAAGCUGGUUUCAGAUGACACCAGAGCACGGCGCUGGGGUCGCAGGGCUGUCCCCUGCUGGCUUGUGCAUGGCCACACCCCCACG
rnacentral:lncRNA from 1 species